GCCACCCAGGCGUCUCAAGAAGGUUUUAAGUGAAAAUACUUGGUGUGGAUAAUCUGUGAAAGGUUCCACAGGGUCAGAACAUCCUCAGCCGAUAAGAGAGGGUAUCAUACUUCAUCUGUCCUUGAUGCGUGUAACGUUCUUUAAUAGGAGAAAGAUAUUUAAUCAGGAGCCACUAGGAACAAAGCACUGACUAGAGGUCCAUUUCUUCUCAUCGUUGAGGAUAUCCAGUGGUCAGAAUAGAUGAAGAAGGAGAAGAAGGGAAAAAAUAAAUGAUGGAGGAAGAGGAUAAACUGGAGAAAGGGAAAAGCAUACCAAAGGAAAGAAUGGUUGUUCUUAAGUUAGGAGUCCGACAACUGAUUGCAUCUAAGGGACUUGGUGUGGCAACUGAGGAAGAGGUAAAUUAAUCAUUGGCGCACAUUCACACAGCCAACAAACAGGAGACCCAGGAGACGUACGAGGAACACACACCGUCACAUGAGGCCCUUGGUAGAUUAAGGCUCAGCCACCAUGGGCACGGCGGAAGAGGAGGACGAAUCAGAGUUUACAGACUUUAAACAAAAUAGAGACAUCAGUAUUUAUUAUCUGUGCAUCACUGAGAUUUACAAUUCUUCAAAUGUGCGAGCAACAACAUUUGUGAGGCAGAUAAAAAAGACCACAAAACAUCCAAAGAGACUGCUAAUAUUAACAUAUAAAAGAAAUAUCACGCAGAAGCGUGUUAGCGCUAAUGAUUUAAAAUACUACUUACACUGUAAGUGGCUGGCCUAUGAGCACAUGUUUUCUCACAACCAGGAACCAUUACUAGAAUUUUUUCAAGCCCUCGUUAAGUAUGCGGUGUCAAGGGUUAUGGAAACAGCAGCAGGAAUUUAAUAUCUUGCAUAUAUUUGAGAAGCUGAAUUGAAAAUAUUUGAUAUUUGGGAUGACGCUGAUGUCGCACGAAGCUCAGGAAAAGCGUGCUUGAAUACAAAGAAUGGACACCAAAUGAAGCCCAUGGAGGUAUAAGAAAGCCAAGGCGACAGAAAAAGAAAAUAAAACACAAUAGAAGUGUGGCCACACGAAAAUACUAA